UGGGGAAUUUGGACAAUGGGCGAAAGCCUGAUCCAGCAAUGCCGCGUGUGUGAAGAAGGCCUUCGGGUUGUAAAGCACUUUUGUCCGGAAAGAAAUCCUUGGCUCUAAUACAGUCGGGGGAUGACGGUACCGGAAGAAUAAGCACCGGCUAACUACGUGCCAGCAGCCGCGGUAAUACGUAGGGUGCAAGCGUUAAUCGGAAUUACUGGGCGUAAAGCGUGCGCAGGCGGUUUGCUAAGACCGAUGUGAAAUCCCCGGGCUCAACCUGGGAACUGCAUUGGUGACUGGCAGGCUAGAGUAUGGCAGAGGGGGGUAGAAUUCCACGUGUAGCAGUGAAAUGCGUAGAGAUGUGGAGGAAUACCGAUGGCGAAGGCAGCCCCCUGGGCCAAUACUGACGCUCAUGCACGAAAGCGUGGGGAGCAAACAGGAUUAGAUACCCUGGUAGUCCACGCCCUAAAACGAUGUCAACUAGUUGUUGGGGAUUCAUUUCCUUAGUAACGUAGCUAACGCGUGAAGUUGACCGCCUGGGGAGUACGGUCGCAAGAUUAAAACUCAAAGGAAUUGACGGGGUCAUAGCUGUUUCCU
rnacentral:rRNA from 1 species